GAGGUAGUGGCUGAGUGCUAGAGCUCCCGCUUCGUACGAAGGAAGAGCUGGGUUCGAUUCCCGGCUGCUUCC
rnacentral:tRNA from 1 species